rnacentral:lncRNA from 1 species
GUCAUUGCGCCAUGAAAGGAGGCGUGCGGUGGAGCUCGGCUGAGCUUCUCUCUGGUUUCCGUAGUAACGGUUCUGUGGUCCCCAGGCCGUGCCGCUGGAGUCGCGCCGCAGAACGGCCAGGGGGCCAAAGCCACCAAAGCGGGUUACGGCCCCUGGACCGGAGGGUACCCGGGCGCGGGAUGGGCCAACGGUUAUGGACCAGGUGUGGGACCAGGCGGAUUCUUCGACAGCGGAAAGGCCAGAGCAGGCGAUUCUGGUGGCGCCGUGAGAGGGGGUUACCCGGGAGGAGGCUCCACCAACGGUUAUGGAACAGGUGCCGCUGGGCUGGGUGAGGGGGGCAAAGCCCGACCUGCAGGCUAUGGAAACGGUUACGGAGCUAUCGGCAAUGGCUACGGGAACGGAGUGGGAUACCCCACCGUACUUGCAGAUGCUGCUGGACUUGGAGGCAAAGCAGGAAAGAGAGCAGGGGGUGUCGGUGGCGCUCCAGGAGCCGCUGCUCCUCAGCUGCCCUACGGGGGCCAGCCCGUGGUGCCCGCUGGCCUGGGAGUUAACGGCAAGGCGGACCGCUACGGUGGGGCUCAGCCUUCCUAUGGGAGGCAGCCGGUCCAGCCAUUGGGGCUGGGUGCUGAUGGAGAUCUGGGUGCUCUAGGUGUUGACCUGGGAGGCGGGCUGGGGUUAGACUCGACCGGGAAAUACGGGAGCAUCGUGCAGAUGCCCUACAAUGGCCUCCCAGUCGUCCCUGCUGGACUGGACGGAAACGGUGGCUACCCUUAUGAUCCCCAGACCAUGGCGGCUGAGGGGAAAGUGCCAACCAAAUACGGAACCGGAACUUACGGAAACGGGGGCGUGCAGCCGGCAGGUAGGGGCGAACCGAGCCACACCUGUACGUAG